UUGACCUCGGAUCAGGUAGGGAUACCCGCUGAACUUAAGCAUAUCAAUAAGCGGAGGAAAAGAAACCAACAGGGAUUGCCUCAGUAACGGCGAGUGAAGCGGCAACAGCUCAAAUUUGAAAUCUGGCUCUUUCAGGGUCCGAGUUGUAAUUUGUAGAAGAUGCUUUGGGUGUGGCUCCGGUCUAAGUUCCUUGGAACAGGACGUCAUAGAGGGUGAGAAUCCCGUAUGUGACUGGCUGCCUUCGCCUAUGUAAAGCUCUUUCGACGAGUCGAGUUGUUUGGGAAUGCAGCUCAAAAUGGGUGGUAAAUUUCAUCUAAAGCUAAAUAUUGGCCAGAGACCGAUAGCGCACAAGUAGAGUGAUCGAAAGAUGAAAAGCACUUUGGAAAGAGAGUUAAACAGUACGUGAAAUUGUUGAAAGGGAAGCGCUUGCAACCAGACUUGCACGCGGUUAAUCAUCUGGUGUUCUCACCGGUGCACUUGACCGUGUUCAGGCCAGCAUCGGUUCAGGUGGCGGGAUAAAGGCCUUGGGAAUGUAGCUUCUUUCGGGGAGUGUUAUAGCCCUCGGUGCAAUGCCGCCUACCUGGACCGAGGACCGCGCUCGGCUAGGA
rnacentral:rRNA from 1 species